CCUACGGGAGGCUGCAGUGGGGAAUAUUGGGCAAUGGGCGCAAGCCUGACCCAGCAACGCCGCGUGAAGGAAGAAGGCUUUCGGGUUGUAAACUUCUUUUAAGAGGGAAGAGCAGAAGACGGUACCUCUUGAAUAAGCCACGGCUAACUACGUGCCAGCAGCCGCGGUAAUACGUAGGGGGCAAGCGUUUGCCGGAUUUACUGGGUGUAAAGGGCGUGCAGCCGGGAAGACAAGUCAGAUGUGAAAGCCCGCGGCUCAACCGCGGAACUGCAGUUGAAACUGUUGUGCUGGAGUACCAGAGAGGUCAGCGGAAGGCGUUGUGUAGCGGUGAAAUGCGUAGAUAUAAGGAAGAACACCAGUGGCGAAGGCGGAGGACUGGCCGGCAACUGACGGUGAGGCGCGAAAGCGUGGGGAGCGAACAGGAUUAGAUACCCGUGUAGUC
rnacentral:rRNA from 1 species